AGCUGAGAGAACACAUAAAGGGGGUCACGGCCCUUAAAACAUUGUGAAAGAAAAUUUAAUUGACACUAAUAGAUUAGUGAUAGUACUCUAAACCAGACACAUGCUGAAGUUUUGAUUUGCAGAAGAAAAGUCUGCUAGGCUUGAAAUACCUAGAUGUUCUUAUUUCUGAAAAAGUCAGUAACUCAAUGUAAAUGAGGCAAUUUUGUAAUGAAGUUUGACUUCUAACAGAAAAAAAAAUUUUUCUCAACAUUUAGUCUUUUCAAUGCUGCACAGAAGUCCAUUUUAUAAAACAUGUUUCAGCUUAGACUUAUUCUUUCUGUCCCAGUGCGAUUCAUACAAAGACCAAAGCAGAAUAAGGGACAAAACCAGUCACUGUUAUGCCUUCGGAGGCAAGCGAGGGAUAGCCUAAACCAGUGGUUCUCCAUCCUGGUCUUGGAGGGCUGAUAUCCAGCAUGUUUUAGUUUUAACCCUGUUGCAACACACCUGAUUUCAAUCAGCAGGUAAUUAACAGGCAUCUGCAAAGCUUGAUCAGCUGCAGCACAGGUGUGUGUGUGUGUGUGUUGAAGCAGAUAAACAACUAAAACUAAAACCUAUUGGCCCUCCAGGACCAGGAUUGAGAACCACUGGCCUAGACAGACCAUAGCAGCAGAAGCAAAAUGAUUUUGCUCAGCAUGUUGAUCUAGCCACGUUCCAUUAGAGCCUCAUCAGGCCCGACCAGUCUUGUGUUAUGCCAAUCACAGAGCUCUAUCGUUUUGGUGGACCUGAUGUUGCCCUGUAGACUGAUAUCUGAAGCAGAAUGAUUCAUCACUGAAUUCAACAAAUCAGCUGUGUUCAUAAUCUAAAGCAUGCAGGAAACAUGCUGGAACCAGACUGCAGCACCGGCUUGUCCCCCGUUAGAACCCAGAUCUUGAUAUCGGCUAGAUUCAGACAUGCAAUCGUCUCUGGAACUCCAUCCUGAAGCUUGUCCUCAACUGCUGUGGCGCCUAGAAGCUUCAACAGAUCAGCGGACAGA